AUUGAACGCUGGCGGCGUGGCUAAAGCAUGCAAGUCGAACGAGAACCCAGCAAUGGGGGACGAGUGGCGGAAGGGCGGAGUAAUGCAUUCCUACGUGCCUCGAGGUGGGGAGUAGGUCGGGGAAACCCGGGACGUAAUACCCACUGUGCUCUCCGGAGUAAAGGUUUAACCGCCUCGAGAGCGGGGAAGUGUCCUAUCAGGUAGUUGGUGAGGUAAUGGCUCACCAAGCCAAUGACGGGUAGCGGGUGUGAGAGCAUGACCCGCCGCAUCGGGACUGAGACACUGCCCGGACUCCUACGGGAGGCUGCAGCGACGAAUAUUCCGCAAUGCGCGAAAGCGUGACGGAGCGACGCCGCGUGCAGGAUGAAGCGGCUCUGCCGUGUAAACUGCUGUCAGAGUGUAGAAAAACUGAUCACACUCAAAGGAAGGGCCUGCUAAUCUCGUG
rnacentral:rRNA from 1 species